UCUUCAAAAAGACAAAACGCCAAACUCGGGGUCCUGAGAAUGCUUCGAUUUAAAAGAGAAUUGUAUUUGACUUAAGGUUUGGCAGAUUAGAACAGGUGGUUUUGUUGAUAAGUUGCUUCAAACUUUUACCCAUUUGAGUGGAAACUCUAGUCUGCGUAAUAUUUUUCAGUUCUCAAGUAAUAAGAGGAAGAAUGUAAUGGUCAGAGCCUCAGCUGGGAUGUACCGAGAUUACUUCAAACCCCAGAAAUGCCUUAUUUGUAGAGUUUAAUCACAUCCGGUAUAACUCAAGCCUUGGGAAGGCUCUUGAUGGAGUGGAGAGUGUGUGGGUUCGAAUCCCACCUCUUCCACCUGCUGGCUGUGGGACCCCACGACCCAGGCCCCGGGCGGAAACUAAGCAGAGGUGACGGGCAGAAGCUCCUGGCAAGAAACGGGCUCAGUAAGCGUUAGUUCCUGUCCCCCUGCCCCUGCCCCUGGGCUUCCCUAGGGCAGCUGUGAGCCAGCGCCCAAGGCACAGCAGUGCCCACCUGCCCGCACCUCCUGUGUCCUGAGCCAGAGCAUCUAGUUCUCGACAGGACUCAAACCUUUUGGGGGGAGAGUUUGCUUAAAUGGAAAAGCCAGUUUGGUGAGGCAUUUAAGACACCCGGACAGUGAAGUUUGUAAGCCGGGGCUCUUGCAUCAAACGGGGUUUCGACUCAGGCUCUGUCACUUCCCAGAAAUGUGUGUGGUUACAUAGCUGCCUUGGGUCUCAGCACGGUGUCGGUGUCGGCAGUGAUAAUAGUGCCUACCUCGUGGGUGCUGGAGAAUUAGAAGGCGUCGCAUGCGGCCCCAGAGCCGUGCUGCCCACUGGGGAGGCAAGUCCUGCGGGUCCGCAGGAGCCUUCAGCCUCCUCCGCGGCGUUUCCUGGGGGAGUGCUCAGUGCGGGGUAGGCUGGACAUUUUCUCUGCUUCUCUUAAGGGUGAGGACAAGCCAGCAAACGACGUGGCAGCAGCGUGAGGUGCAGAGCAGAAGCGCCUGGGACUGCAGACUGCAGCGCGGGCUCCGGGCCUGGCUCCACCACCAGUUCCACGUGUCCUUCUGUUCUCUGGGCCUCAAUUCCCGCUUGUACAAUUCAGGAUGCAAAGAGGUGAUCGGGUCAUUCCUGGCUUUUGACGUCCGGUGUAAUCACAGCCGUCCGAACGUCUGCUCGCAAGCCUUGAGUGACCAGGACCGCAGGAAGCGGCAGUUCAGGGAAGGCUCAGGAUCCUGCAGUUAGGGCUCGGGAAGGAAGACUUCUUCCAGAUCCUCUCCCAGACCGAGAAGAGCUAAUGAGGAAGGAAUGGCCGUGCUUUCCUUGGGCAAACUGGAGGAGCCCUGGGCUUGUCCUCCUCCUCCUCGCCUCCCCAGCCUUCCUCCAGCCCCUUGGCCACGGUGAGACUCCCACCCUGCACUUUCUUUCCAUAUACUGCAGGAAACUUGCUCUCAGAUCCUUCUCCGCACCCAGAAGGAAAUUCAUUCACCAAAUACACACAUUCAACAAAGGGGCGCCUAGUGCACACCGGGCACUCUUCUGCAUGCCGGGACGGAGCUGUGGAGAGGGACACAGUCCCUGUCCUUGAGGGGCUGACACUCUGGUGCAGCCAGAGAGAAAUAAGAAAAUAAGCAAGCAAAGUGGAGCAGGCGGAGUUGGCAGAGAGUUGGAUUUUACUGGGUUGGGGAUUUUCACCACAGCAAGCUCGAGGGAGGCGGGGAGAGUGUAGACAAGACAGGGGCUGAAAUAACCCUGGAAUUUAGGCUGGGAAGGGGGCAGUGAGGAUUGGAAGGGGCGGAGACCAGGUGGUGAGGCCAGUGCACUGUGCCGCCCCGUGGGGGUGGAGGCUUGAAGGAAGGAGCUGGAAACAGGGUUGUUUUUUGCUUCUCUUUUCUUCUUUUUGGACGAGUGCAGCAGUGAGCAAGGAGGACCGAGUAGAACAGGCGUUUGAUCUGUUCACUGUGAGCAGUCCGAGAUAACGCACCACCCCCCGGGCGAGCGUGGGAAGAGGGGUCUUUCCGGACUGCGCAGCUGAGAGCCCCUCCCCUUGGCCCCGCCCAUCAGGAACCAUCAACAUUGCAACCCAAAAGGCCUCUAUAUCCCCCCAAAGGGCCAAUACAAAGCAGGAAGAGGAAGGGAUGCAGACACCGCUUCACGAGUUAAACCAAAGCCAGCCACUUCCACCCAGUCUUACAGGGAACGGGCAAACAGAAAGGCACCCCAAGCGUCAAGGUCCGGUAAGAGCUUCCCGCCAGCUGCGGCCGAGCAGACACACACCUCCCUGGCCCUUCUUCCCCACCACACGGUGAGUUAGAAACUUCUGCCCCAACCUUUGGAGAAACCAUUUCCCUCCUCCAAAGACCUCCUUCCCUUGCCCCAGCUCUAGCAGAGGCCAGACUGGUGCAGCUGGCAGCACCAGAGACGACACACUCACCGUCGGACAGCCGCCGCGGGGGCCUGCAGGCAAGGCCCCGCACUCGCCUCUCCUCAGCGCCCGCUCCCGGACCCGCUCUUACCACCAACGCCGCUUCUCUCCAAGUUACCAAGCUCCAAUCAAGUCUCUCUCCUGAUCCUACCCUUCAAUGGCUGCUGCUACGUACAAAUACCUUGCCCUGGCUUCAGGGUCCUCUAUUACGUCAAUCUCAGGGAGGCUCAAGGUCACACAGCCAGUGACAGGGCCCUUACGCCCAACCCCCUGCCUCACCACCUCAGUGGCUUCCCAGGGAGUGGGAGGUCGGUUAGCCACUGGCUUUGGAAUAUGCACAACACCUCCCUGGGCCAUGACUUUGCCUCCUUUUCAGCCCCACCUGAUAAAAUCGUACCCAUCUCUGGCCAUUUUUCCUUUAUUUCCAAAAUGUUGUAUAGAAUGAGCUCAUAAUUUCACUCUAAAUAUUUUGUAAAUACUUUGCAAGUGCCUUUAUAAUUCAAAAUACAAUUCAUAAACAAAGACUUUUAAAACCCAUUUUUCAAGGCUUGAAUUGCUUCUUUAUUCAGAAAGCUUUUUUUUAUUCCCCAACUAAACAUGAUGUCUCCCCCAAACUCCUCCAUUAUGUCUGGGACCCUCACGUUGCCUCCCUCAGUUGUCUGAGAUGUAUCUUAUAAAUCAGGCUGCAAGUGUCUUGAGAUCCGGGCUGUGUGAGAAUCUUUGCACCCCCACCACAGGACACAAGGUUUCCCGACACGGAGGCUGUACUCUGUUAGUGUUAUACCAAACUGAGAACUUUUACACUUUAGUGAUUUCAAUGACAAGAAAUUUCAAAGGCCCUGUGGAGAGGAUCAGAAGACCCCUCUGUCCUCAGCCACACCAUGGAUGCGAGCACAGGAACCAGGUGGACCCGAGAGGAGAAUGGGAUAGGGGAAAAGCUAUUCUAGGCCCAGCAACCAGUUUGUCUCUGGGAACUUUCCCUCUGCUUCUGCUCUUUGAAAUGUGUCUUUCUAGAAAGAAAUGUUGGAGCCAUAGCCACUGAGAGGUGGGAACACGAUACAGAACAGGCCAGCGCAGUCUUGAAAUGCUGUGGAGCCCACAAGGAAAGCCUUGGCCAGAACCUUGUGAUUCUGCCACCAUUUCUUAGCUGGCUGACCUUGGUUCAAGUCCCUCUUACUGGUCUGUUGCCUUGUCUGUAAAAUGAAGACCAGGUAGGCCAAGGAUCCCUUCCAGAUCUUAGAGAGCAAAGCUAUGCCCUCCCUCAUCCCCCGUGUGUCCCAGCAACCCAUCCACAGCACAGGAGCAGCAGCAAUGGCAACGGGGCAUGAGCAUCCUCCAGUCUCACAUUCGGCAAGCUUGGCAAAUAGGUGCCAGAGAUGUCUAAAGGGCCACUUCUCCUGCUGAAUGAGAAGCAGAUGCUCCUAAAGGAACAUGGCCACAGGGAAGGUGAGGCAUGGGAGGGCAGGCUGGACCUUCUACAGCCCCCAGGAGGCGGCAGCGCCGGCUGGUAGGGAAGCACAGUCAGAGCCCGCCUUCACCCCCUCUGAGCUCCGAGAGACAAACUGACAGAGCCCUCUCCAGCUGGCAGUGUGCAGCAGCCAGGCAGCCCUGUUCUCAAUG